rnacentral:rRNA from 1 species
UGAACGCUAGCUACAGGCUUAACACAUGCAAGUCGAGGGGCAGCAUGAACAUAGCUUGCUAUGUUUGAUGGCGACCGGCGCACGGGUGCGUAACACGUAUCCAAUCUGCCCGUUACUCGGGGAUAGCCUUCUGAAAGGAAGAUUAAUACCCGAUGGCAUGUAUUUCCGGCAUCGGAGAUACAUUAAAGAUUUAUCGGUAACGGAUGAGGAUGCGUACGAUUAGCUGGUUGGCGGGGUAACGGCCCACCAAGGCGACGAUCGUUAGGGGUUCUGAGAGGGUGAUCGGCCACAUUGGGACUGAGACACGGCCCAAACUCCUACGGGAGGCAGCAGUGAGGAAUAUUGGUCAAUGGUCGAGAGACUGAACCAGCCAAGUAGCGUGAAGGAUGACUGCCCUACGGGUUGUAAACUUCUUUUGUUUGGGAAUAAAUGAUACUACGUGUAGUAUUUUGCAUGUACCUUACGAAUAAGCAUCGGCUAAUUCCGUG